rnacentral:rRNA from 1 species
AUGGCCGGACCUUCCGGCCGUCACGGCACAGCCCAUUUACAAAAUGGCCGACACGUCCAUGCGCGCCGGCCCAUGCCCACGUGGCCAGGUUUGUUGCGCACCGGCGGCCGGCCCCACCCCCGUACCUCUGGCUCGAUGGCAUCAUCCCCGCUUCGUCCCCUCACGCAACCACCCUCCGCCCGUCCAAUCCACCUCACAAUCCCGCCGCCGGCCGGCGCCAUGUCGCCCCCUUCCACCCCAUUCCCCUCCACGGCCUCGCUGCUCCUCGCCGGCAGCAGGCUCCCGCGGCUCCAGAUCCAGUCGCCCCGCGCCCCCACCAAGCCCCCGUACCGCUCCGCCUCCCCCUCCCCCUACCGUCCGUGGCUCCGCGGCGUCGCCAGGCGCCCCCUGCUCGUCCCCGCCUCCGCUUCCGUCCUUCCCCUCCGGGUGACGGUCGCUCCUCCGCUGGGGGUGGAGGCUGCGGAUGAAUCGGGCCGGCCGGCGGCUGCUCCUCCCCUGGGGGCGGAGGCUGAGGAUGAACCGGGCAGCCGGCUGGCGGCUGCGAGGAGGGUCGCAGUGGCGCUUAUCUGCAGCGCGCUGGCGGCGGUGUGGUGCCAUCGGGCGCUUGCCGCGGGGGCCGCCGCGGCGGGCGCAGGCGCGGGGGCGUCCACGGCGGUGGAGGCGGCCGAUGUGGUCGGCUGGGUGGCGCUGCGCCUGCGAGGGAGCUGGCCCACGGUGCUCCAGGUUCUGCAGCUGCUCAGGGAGCAGGGCCUUGUUCUCGCCCUGUUACUCGGUCUCUCCGCCUUCUUCUCCAUGGCCGAGACCUCCAUCACCACGCUCUGGCCCUGGAAGGUCCGCGAGCUGGCUGACAAGGAACCUGAGAACGGCGUGUUCAAAAUGCUCCGAAAUGAUGUCACUCGCUUCCUCACAACCAUACUCAUCGGCACAACCGUGGUUAACAUUGGCGCGACAGCCAUUGUCACCGAGGCAGCCACAGCAAUGUUUGGUGAAGCAGGUGUCAGUGCAGCAACAGGUGUCAUGACUGUUGCCGUUCUCCUUCUUACAGAAAUCACACCCAAGAAUGUUGCAGUCCACAAUGCCACAGAAGUUGCCAGGUUUGUGGUCAGACCAAUCGCUUGGCUUUCAAUCAUCCUGUAUCCCGUUGGGCGUAUUGUUACAAUUAUAUCCAUGGGAAUUCUAAAGCUUCUAGGCCUGAAAGGGAGAAGUGAGCCAUAUGUGACUGAGGAUGAACUGAAGCUAAUGCUCCGGGGAGCGGAGUUGAGUGGUGCAAUUGCGGAAGAUGAGCAGGAUAUGAUUGAGAAUGUGCUCGAGAUUAAAGACACGCAUGUCAGGGAGGUGAUGACACCUUUGGUAGAUGUGGUCGCAAUUGAUGCAGCCGCAACACUGAUUGAUUUCAAAAACCUAUGGGAAACCCACCAGUACUCUAGAGUUCCUGUAUUUGAGGAGCGCAUAGAUAAUAUCGUGGGAAUUGUAUAUGCAAUGGACAUGCUUGAAUACGUUGAAGAGGCUGAGAAGUUGAAGGACAUCACUGUUAAGGAAAUUGCACAUAUGCCUAUAUACUUUGUCCCAGAUUCAAUGUCCGUUUGGAACCUGCUGAGAGAGUUCCGGAUCAGACAGGUUCAUAUGGCAGUGGUCCUCAAUGAGUAUGGUGGAACGAUUGGUAUCGUGACAUUAGAAGAUGUGGUGGAAGAAAUAGUUGGUGAAAUCUUUGAUGAAAAUGAUUCAAAGGAGGAAAUCCAGAAGAAAACAGGUAAUAUAGUAAUGCUGGAAGAUGGAACAUUUGUUGUUGAUGCAAACACAUCUAUAGACGAUCUUUCUGAAGAGCUUGGUGUUAAAAUACCAGAGGGCCAUCAGUAUGAGACCGUGUCUGGUUUUGUUUGUGAGUCCUUUGGCUAUAUACCAGAAGAAGGUGGGAAAAUGCUUGUGAUACUCGAGAGGGAUAAAAGUGAGGAGAAUGGUGAAUAUCAGGACGAAGGAUCUGAUCACCAAGAUGAACGAGAAGCAACUCAAGCUUAUGAACUUGAGAUACUCGAAGCUAAUGCAAGAAAGGUCAGCAAAGUAUGUUUCAAGCCAAUAAGCAGCGAAUGUGUAGACGUUGACAACAAGGGUGUCAACCGGCUGAUGUCAAAAAAGAUUAUCAAACGGAAGAAGAAGGACUCUGGUAAUUCUUCCGACAGUGAUGAUGACGAUGAGUGCCCUGAUAUAACAGAAAAUGGUUGCCCUGCAGAGCUAGUUUCAUACUCAGAUGAUAGUGCAGAGCUAGAAGAUUCUGGCAGUUCUAUGGGACAAGGUAACAAAGUAAACAAUUAG